rnacentral:rRNA from 1 species
CCUACGGGAGGCAGCAGUGGGGAAUAUUGGACAAUGGGCGCAAGCCUGAUCCAGCCAUGCCGCGUGAGUGAUGAAGGCCUUAGGGUUGUAAAGCUCUUUCACCCGUGACGAUAAUGACGGUAGCGGGAGAAGAAGCCCCGGCUAACUCCGUGCCAGCAGCCGCGGUAAUACGGAGGGGGCUAGCGUUGUUCGGAAUUACUGGGCGUAAAGCGCGCG